rnacentral:rRNA from 1 species
GACGAACGCUGGCGGCGUGCUUAACACAUGCAAGUCGAACGGAAAGGCCCUGCUUGCAGGGUACUCGAGUGGCGAACGGGUGUGUAACACGUGGGUGAUCUGCCCUGCACUUCGGGAUAAGCCUGGGAAACUGGGUCUAAUCCCGGAUAGGAGCCAUUCUUAGUGUGAUGGUUUGAAAGUUUUUUCGGUGUAGGAUGAGCUCGCGGCCUAUCAGCUUGUUGGUGGGGUAAUGGCCUACCAAGGCGGCGACGGGUAGCCGGCCUGAGAGGGUGGACGGCCACAUUGGGACUGAGAUACGGCCCAGACUCCUACGGGAGGCAGCAGUGGGGAAUAUUGCACAAUGGGCGCAAGCCUGAUGCAGCGACGCCGCGUGGGGGAUGACGGCCUUCGGGUUGUAAACUCCUUUCGCUAGGGACGAAGCUUUUUGUGACGGUACCUAGAUAAGAAGCACCGGCUAACUACGUG